UGUUUGCGAGUUAAUGCGACGCCUGAGGAAUUGGUCUGAUUUCUGCGGAGAACUUCUGAAAACAUAAGUGUACUUACACUUUUUAGAAAUCCAGUACCAGAAAUUCCGAAAAGGCAUGAAAUCAAACACGGUCAUGUUUACAUUAAUCUCGGUGAAGCACACAUAUUUGGAAUAACAAUACAUCUACCGCAUCCAUUUACUCAUGUCAGAGACCAUGAUACAUAAACACACACAAAGAAAUGAGAAGAAGAAGUAAUACUGACUCAAACGAAAUGCUUAUAUUUGAACAGUCUUGAAACAUUUGCAUUGUUUGAUUACACUAUAUAUUCUAUACGAUCACUAUUAACAUGUACAUAUCAUGUAUAUUAUGGAUAUUGUUUUUUUCUAUAAUGAAUAAUUAUAUAUAAGGAUCAUCUUCAUAUUUUCAUAUAGAAUUGAUAGUCCAAUAUUUGGAAUUAAAUAUACCGGUAA